rnacentral:lncRNA from 10 species
GCCUGACCCUGCUUUCAACCAGGAAGUUCAAGGGAGGCAGGACUUUACGGUCAAAACUGCAAAGCCGAAGCUCAAGACUGUAAGAAGAAAGUGAUCUUCAAAGAAAAGGAUUCACCCAAAUCGAAGAGGAUAUCGUUUCGCAUCAGGGACACUCGUCUCCACACCUCCUACCUCAAAGUCCUACGCACCUACCCUUCACGUCUCUCCAAAGCAACUGAAUUAAAGCGCCUACUGGCCUUGGCGGCGCAGGUCCCAAGAUUUUGACUGAUUGGUUGUACGACUAGAGUUGCUGGAGUUCAAGUAUUUUCAUUUUAACUAUUCAACUGAAAGCAGUGCGUUACAACAGAACACGGGUUCCAAAGAAUUUACUGAGAAGAAGCAAAGUAAUACUUGGGAGAACUAUAAUACACAGGCAUCUCAUGAAAAUCAUCCAACAUAUAGAAGAAUAUAUAGAAUAAAGCAAAAAUCAUCAGAAACUCCACCGUCUUGGAUGACCAUAGUUGAUAUUCUGAAUGGCUUCUGUUCCGAUUGAACCUUGACUGAUGUAGCACCUAUCACCAAAUUGCUGUUCAGGAAAUAUGUCCUAAAGAAACUCCCAACAGCAGCAAUACAUCAGAGUGGCACCUCUUUACACUGGUUCUUGAGAAGAUGUCAGAGUGAGAUUUGCAAUAGACUCCCAGCAGCCCCCAGGAGCACCAAGUGAGAUGCCUGCCAGGCCCACUGUGUCCACUGCCCUCUGGUAGCACCUGAGGAUCAUGGGUAAAAUUAAAUCCUGGUAGAUAAAGGGGAAGACGUAAGGAAGACAAGACAAGGGACUGAGGAAAUGUUGGGGAAGAUGAGAACACCUCAGAAACCACAAUUGAAGAAUUCCUAGGACCCCCAGGAAAGGGGCACAUCCAGAAAGGAGAUAAGAUCAGAAGCCUUUAUUUCCACUAUUCAGCCACUCACUGCCUGAGACUUAACUUCAUUUCAAGUAAGGGGAUAAUAUUUGGCCCCUAAGUAUCUUACAAGGGUUUUGUUUUCCCUAAGAGAAAAAAAAUUAGGUAAGAUCAUAAGUAAGAAAGGAUUUUUUGAAUUAAAAAUAUAUGCAAAUGCAAGUUAUAACAAUUUUUGUUCUGGAUAUUUUUGCAGUAGAUAGAAAAGUUCUUUGUGCUGUGGCCACCUGCCUAAUGCUGUUGACUGGCUGGUAAUAGAUGCCUGGGAGUCAUUUUGAGGUUACUUAGAGCCUCUUUCCACCACCAGAUGGAAGGAAAUUGGGCAACUUCUUGAGUAAUUGGCUCUUCUGACUCACGUUUCUUGCAUUGUGACCUGGGUGCUACCCAGGAUGAGCAAGGAAUUUCCUCUCUGGAGUUGUUUAAGGAAUAGCCCAAACGUUCAGCUUCAUCUUUUUUUAAUGCCGCCUCUAACACUACCUGAGCAGCCACAGAAAAGUAUUUGCUGCUGCAGUAUUUUGGAUCAGCUGAAAUAUAUUUUGAGUAUGUACUCUGGGAAAGGCACAGAAUACCAUUUCUUUACUGAGAUUCUCUUCAAGGAUUUCCAUCCCUCCUUAAAGACCUAGUUGGGAUGGAGCAAUGUAUUUAGAACAUGAUGUGAGUACCAACAAGGAGUCGGGAGACACCUUUUAGCUGUACUUCUUUAUCUUUCUCUCCUUGCUUCCUCUGUCUCUGGUUUCCCCUUUUGCAUCUCUUGUUUUUCCUUUCUUUUCUUGUAUUACUUUCUCUUGAUCAAUAGAGCUGCCAUAGCCUUCCCAGACAUAAAUAAUCAGCUUCCUUGGAAGUACUCAGAAUGUGAACAGCUGUAGCCACUUAGACCUGGUCUUAGAUUCUCACCCCUUGUUGUGUAUUGUAAUUAUCUAGGGAACUUAAAAGGUACUGAGGCAUGGGCCCCAAUGGAAUCAUUAUCCCUGGGGGGUGGGGUGGGCCCUAGACCUGGUAUUUUCAAAAACUUUCAAAAAUUAUUCUAACACAUA